GGAAAAGAGCCUUGCAACCUGUUGAGGAACCUCCAGAUGCUUCAGACGAGCAUGAUCCCAGGAGGAAACCAAAACAUCAAUGGUCUCCAGCUGAGGUUGCGGCAGUGAUGCGACAUUUCAAAGAUUGCAUCAAGAAGGGGAAACUAGCAACAAAGAUUCAGUGUUAUACAUAAGAGACUUUGUGAGAAAUCGUGGCAUAUCCCUUAGGAAGAAGAGUGACAAGUGAACAGCCACCAUUCUUGUUUUCAGUUAGUGAGUUUAGUAAUGUAUUUGUUGCAGCGUCAUACUGUUUGGAGUAGUUGAACAGCUGCCUUUGAGGUGUUGCUCUAGGUGAGUGAAUCAUUGGUAUAUUCAAGAAUUUGAUACAGCAGCACUCAUGACAUUAAAAUUGGGUUCUUGCUCACAGA